rnacentral:rRNA from 1 species
AGCAGCCGCGGUAAUUCCAGCUCCAAUAGCGUAUAUUAAAGUUGUUGCAGUUAAAAAGCUCGUAGUUGAAUUUCGGGAUCAAUACGUCGGUCGUGCUUCGGUACGUACUGGCGUAAUUGAUUUCUCCCUUCUGACGAACCAUGAUGUCAUUAACUUGGUGUCAUGGGAAAUCAGGACUGUUACUUUGAAAAAUUAGAGUGUUUAAAGCAGGCUCACGCUUGAAUACAUUAGCAUGGAAUAAUGAAAUAGGACGUUCGAUCCUAUUUUGUUGGUUUUUAGGAUCAACGUAAUGAUUAAUAGGGAUAGUUGGGGGCAUUAGUAUUCAAUUGUCAGAGGUGAAAUUCUUGGAUUUAUUGAAGACUAACUACUGCGAAAGCAUUUGCCAAGGAUGUUUUCAUUAAUCAAGAACGAAAGUUAGGGGAUCGAAGACGAUCAGAUACCGUCGUAGUCUUAACCAUAAACUAUGCCGACUAGGGAUCGGAUGAUGUUAAUUUUUAA